UACGAAGGGUGCUAGCGUUGCUCGGAAUUACUGGGCGUAAAGCGCACGUAGGCGGGUCUUUAAGUCAGGUGUGAAAUCCCGGAGCUCAACUCCGGAACUGCCUUUGAUACUGGAGAUCUUGAGUCCGGGAGAGGUGAGUGGAACUCCGAGUGUAGAGGUGAAAUUCGUAGAUAUUCGGAAGAACACCGGUGGCGAAGGCGACUCACUGGGCCGGUACUGACGCUGAUGCGCGAAAGCCAGGGGAGCGAACGGG
rnacentral:rRNA from 1 species